rnacentral:rRNA from 1 species
UACGUAGGGUGCAAGCGUUAAUCGGAAUUACUGGGCGUAAAGCGUGCGCAGGCGGCUUUGCAAGACAGAUGUGAAAUCCCCGGGCUUAACCUGGGAAUUGCGCUUGAAACUAGGUCGCUAGAGUGUGGCAGAGGGGGGUGGAAUUCCACGUGUAGCAGUGAAAUGCGUAGAGAUGUGGAGGAACACCGAUGGCGAAGGCAGCCCCCUGGGUCAACACUGACGCUCAGGCACGAAAGCGUGGGGAGCAAACAGG